AGCCGUUUAUUGAGACUGACUUGGAUGGGAAGUAAUCGCUGCGCAACGACGCUGUAACGACUUGUAGGCUGUGUUGUUGUUGUAUUGACUGACAGUGCUGUAUUUCUUAUCUGUGUUUUGAAUUCCUCUACUUGGUGCUUGUCGGUGGUGAGCUGAUAACGCUUUAUAAAAAUAUGCUUAUUUCGUCUGUUUUAGUGGCAUACGCGACGGCGACGGCAGCUUCAGGGUUAUCGCUGGGUGCGCCAAAGUGUCAUUGCUACAUGUAAGUCGGACUUAGGGUUGUAACACAAGCGCCAUUCACGGGAAAAAUGCUCGCGAUGAGGCUAUCUACGUCACUGCGGUUGCACUGGUUGCGAAUUUUUCUUCGGUCUCGAUCUGUCGGUUGGGCUCCCGCAUAACCGAAAAAGCGGAACAUUUCUUUUACUUAAGAAAAUAGAAAGACGAAUAUAAUUUUUUCUUCCCAUAAUUUCACUGUAACUAAUUAUUGCACUCGUUUCUAAAUAUCUUAAAAUUUGAACCGACCGAUGAGAAUGUUUCAACGCAGCGGCUCCGAAGCCUUUCAGGAAUUUAACAACAAGUUGGAGCUCGCUAAUUAUUGCUCGGAUUUAUAAUGAAACUCAAUCAACAACAUACACGAGACAGGAGAGCGUGAAUAAUUGCACCAUUUUAUAAAACCCUUAAAGUAGUAUCUGCACGAGGCGGCCGACACCCAUUCGCAGGCCUAAAACAUCGCAUUUAGAGGAGGAAAGAAAAUUUAUCAAAAUUGAAUAUGAGAUAAUAUUCUAGAACUACUUAAAUGUAUGUAAAGUGGUGCUUUGGAGUAUCUUCGAAACGCUGCUGGGUUCGCUUGUCUGCUGCGUCAGCUUUCUCGCUGCCGCUACCGAAUGGGUUGCCUUGAAAAUGCUAAUGGAUUGAACUCAACUGAUAGGCAAUUGAGACUUGGCAUAUUCUCCUCUUUCAAAACAUUGAUUCAAAUGCACACACACACACAUUAAUACAUAUUUCGUGAAAAAAACAUUUACGAUUUUGAGGCUAACAAAAUACAUUGACUCUUUGAGGCGCGUUCAUUCACAUCUUUAUUCGCUUGAAGACUGAUUAGAGUUUCUAAGUUAUAUAAGAAUCGAACUGAUUGGAACAUAAAUUCACUCUUACUUUUAAAAAAUAUUUUACUAAGAGCUUUUAGCACGUGGCAUACACAAAAUCUGUUUUUAAUCGUGAGCCAAGACAAAACAAGUGAACUCCUGAUACAUCCACACACAGGCAUUGCGGUUGCGCCUCUGCUUCAGACAGUGUUGUAUAUUUGCUCCGGCGGCAGGCACCCCCAAUU